ensembl:lncRNA
GGGGUAGGUAGUGUUAGUACUUGAUGUUCAUUGGUGUGUGUGUGUACAUGUUUAUGUGUGUUGAAUGUGUACUGCUUGUAGGUUAUCUUGAUAGAGGGGUAGUUAAUGUUAGUACUUGAUGUUCAUUGGUGUGUGUACAUGUUUAUGUGUGUUGAAUGUGUACUGCUUGUAGGUUAUCUUGAUAGAGGGGUAGUUAAUGUUAGUACUUGAUGUUCAUUGGUGUGUGUGUGUACAUGUUUAUGUGUGUUGAAUGUGUACUGCUUGUAGGUUAUCUUGAUAGAGGGGUAGUUAAUGUUAGUACUUGAUGUUCAUUGGUGUGUGGGUGGUUUUGCCUGAGGACUGUACAGUGCUACUAUGUUACAUUCUCUGACCGUUGCUUGUUAAUUCCUCUUUGGAUUCACAACACCCCUUUAUGGUAGAAUGGAGUAGGAGGUGUAGUGAGAGAUGCUGUAACUUCAUGUUCUGACCCUGACAGUUUUGUACUACUGUAAAUUAUACAACGGGUGCUUCUAAUCCUGAAUGCUGAUUGGUUAAAUCCGCAUUCUAG